rnacentral:rRNA from 1 species
GGAGUUAGCCGGUGCUUCUUCUGUGAGUGAUGUCCUUCCUGCCGGCUAUUAACCCGCAGGCCUUCUUCCUCACUGAAAGUGCUUUACAACCCGAAGGCCUUCUUCACACACGCGGCAUGGCUGGAUCAGGGUUGCCCCCAUUGUCCAAUAUUCCCCACUGCUGCCUCCCGUAGGAGUCUGGGCCGUGUCUCAGUCCCAGUGUGGCUGAUCAUCCUCUCAGACCAGCUACGGAUCGUCGCCUUGGUGAGCCGUUACCUCACCAACCAGCUAAUCCGACAUAGGCUCAUCCGAUAGCGCGAGGCCCGAAGGUCCCCCGCUUUCCCCCGUAGGGCGUAUGCGGUAUUAGCCUGGGUUUCCCCCAGGGUUAUCCCCCACUACCGGGGCAGAUUCCUAUGCAUUACUCACCCGUCCGCCGCUCGCCACCAGGGAGCAAGCUCCCCGUGCUGCCGCUCGACUUGCAUGUGUUAGGCCUGCCGCCAGCGUUCAAUCUGAACCAAGAUCAAAUUCUGA